UCUCUGGUGGCUUAGUUGGUAUUGAAUCUGCCUGCAGUACAGGAGACCCAGGUUCGAUUCCUGGGUAGGGAA
rnacentral:tRNA from 1 species